CGGACGGGUGAGUAACGCGUGGGUAACCUGCCUUGUACUGGGGGACGAACAGUUGGAAACGACUGCUAAUACCGCAUAAGCGCACAGCUUCGCAUGAAGCAGUGUGAAAAACUCCGGUGGUACAAGAUAGACCCGCGUCUGAUUAGCUGGUUGGUGAGGUAACGGCCCACCAAGGCGACGAUCAGUAGCCGGCCUGAGAGGGUGAACGGCCACAUUGGGACUGAGACACGGCCCAA
rnacentral:rRNA from 1 species